CUUCUAGAGGACCCCUAAUCUCUAAUGAACAUGAGAACACCUAACCCAGCCGUUUUUCAUCUUCAACACCAAAAAAACCCUAGGUCUAUCUUCUCCAACCUAAGACCCCAAUCUCCAUAGCUGCCGCCAGUCCACCUCCCCCCACCGGCUGCUCAUCGCUGCCAACCACCACCUUCGACCAAAAUCUAACAAAAUAGACUCAUCAAGCUCACGAUAAUAUGGCACAUCUAGUUGUUUUCUUGUUAACUCGUUCUGAAUUUCCUUCAUAGCAAAUUGCUCAGGCUUCAUCUCUUCUUCGGAUUUUUUUCUGAUUUGCUGGAUUAACAGAUCUAAAAUGCGCGACCCCAAACCAGCCCUCUUGCCCAUAAAACCAUACCAAUACAACCCAAAAUCAGUCCCAAAGAAACUCAAAAACCAGCUGGAGUUUAGUUUUUGUCAUUCUGGUUUAGUUCGAUACUUCUAGUAGGCUUCGAGGUUGUCAGUGGUCGUCAUUCAGGGGCUCCACUUCAGUUUUGUCUGGGUUCUUUUGUUCUGAGGGAGUUCGAGUUCAGUGGGGUCCUCCGUUGAGUGUCGUCGAUCGUGGAUCAAGUUUGUUGUUUGAGGAGGCUAUUUUAGUUAUAAUAGUGAAGACAACAUUCUGCUUGAGGAGUGGAUCUACUUACCAGAGCUUGAGCAUGACAGACACCUCAGGACCAUUUGGUCAGGACCGUUGCACCUAGGAGUUUCUUAAGGAGGUUUUUAUUUUUUUAUUUUUUGAGUCUGCUUUUUUGUUGUCUUGUACUUUAUAGUCAUGUUCAGUAGCACUGGCUCUUUUAGUUAGUGUUAGAGUUUGUUGUAGUAUAGUUGAAUUUUUCAAGUC